rnacentral:rRNA from 1 species
CCUACGGGCGGCAGCAGUGGGGAAUAUUGCACAAUGGGCGAAACCCUGAUGCAGCGACGUCGCGUGAGUGAAGAAGUAUUUCGGUAUGUAAAGCUCUAUCAGCAGGGAAGAUAAUGACUGUACCUGACUAAGAAGCGCCGGCUAAAUAAGUGACAGCAGCCGCGGUAAUACGUAGGGGGGACGCGUUAUCCGGAUUUACUGGGGGUAAAGGGGGAGUAGGUGGGAGGGCAAGUCAGAUGUGAAAGCCUCGGGAUCAACCCCCGUACUGCGUUUGAAACUGUCCAGCUGGAGUGCAGGAGAGGUAAGCGGAAUUCCUGGUGUAGCGGUGAAAUGCGUAGAUAUUAGGAGGAACACCAGUGGCGAAGGCGGCUUACUGGACUGUAACUGACACUGAGGCACGAAAGCGUGGGUAGCAAACAGGAUUAGAUACCCUUGUAGUC